rnacentral:lncRNA from 1 species
AGAUCAAAUAAAGUGCUAUGAGUGCGGAGAAACCGGGCACAUUAAAUCAAAUUGCCCAAAUGCUAAAAAGGAGAAGAAACCCUUCAAGAAGUAACGAGCAUACAUAUCUUGGGGAGGCGACUCCGGUGACGAGUCAAGUGAGGAAGAAGAAUACGAAGCCGCAGAUCUUUGUCUUAUGGCACAAGAAGACAACAAAGAAGAGGAUGUCAAAUUUCUUCCAAAAAUUUCUUUUCCCUUGAAGAAAUGCAAAAUGCUUUUGAUGAGUUGUAUAGCGAAUUUAUUAAAGCUUCAAAAACUGUUAAGAGUAUAUAAGAAAAUGCUUCUUCAAAAAAAAAAGAUUUUCAAAAACAACUCUCUUUUAAAGAAAAGGAAUUGGAAAAACU